UCCUGCGUGGGAGGGCUGCGAUGUGAGGCGGAAGCUUGGUAGCUUGGAAACGGCAAAACCAAGGCGGAGCUUCUUCCUUGAAGGUGGAGCUAGGUCCACCCAGGUGUUUUGCACAGCUGAAUGGUUGCCAUGGGAGAUUUAAGGAUUCUUCAAACAUGCAUGAAAGCAUCAAGGCAACGCUCCAGGUCCUGGAGAUGAUGGAGAAAAGAUGGCGGCCAGGGCGUGGCGCAAUUUACGUACGCUUCCAUCGACCACUUAACAUUUAAGUUGACAUUUCGAAAAUGGAUUUGCUCAAUGGAAACGCGCCAGUUUCUUGUUUUUUGUUCAAAAGUUUCGGCGUUGGGAUCAGGUGGGUUUUUUUGGUCAAUAAAACUGGCGUAAACCAUGUAGAAGACGACGACAGGAAGUGGCUUGGUGUCACUCAGUGACUCAUCGAAGGGACAAACUCAGUCAUGUGUGAUUUAAAUUGCGUUUCCUACUUAAUGGAAACAUCACAGAUUGUGGGGUUGUUGUUUUUUUCAACAUUAGUGGAAUAUUAACAAAGUUUUGCGCACAUUUGUAAUGGAAACGCAGCUGCUGCCGAUCGGACGGCACCACCAGUUCCUGCUGGAAACAGGGAGCAUGAUUUUCUUUAUUUAUUUAAACAAGCUUUGUAUUGAAGUAGAUAUCUGUAUUUAAAGAUUAUUCCCAUUUUUGAUGUUUAGUUGAUUAAUGAACUUAGCUGUACUGUGUC